rfam:Ixodes scapularis strain Wikel colony gcontig_1108379078712, whole genome shotgun sequence.
GUCAGGAUGGCCGAGCGGUCUAAGGCGCUGCGUUCAGGUCGCAGUCCGGUCUUCCGGGCGUGGGUUCGAGUCCCACUUCUGACA